UAAACUGAAGAGUUUGAUCAUGGCUCAGAUUGAACGCUGGCGGCAGGCCUAACACAUGCAAGUCGAGCGGUUGAAGGUAGCUUGCUACUGGAUACAGCGGCGGACGGGUGAGUAAUACAUGGGAAUCUGCCUGGUAGUGGGGGACAACAGUUGGAAACGACUGCUAAUACCGCAUACGCCCUACGGGGGAAAGGGGGGGAUCUUCGGACCUCUCGCUAUCAGAUGAGCCCAUGUCAGAUUAGCUUGUUGGUGAGGUAAAGGCUCACCAAGGCGACGAUCUGUAACUGGUCUGAGAGGAUGAUCAGUCACACUGGAACUGAGACACGGUCCAGACUCCUACGGGAGGCAGCAGGGGUGAAUAUUGGACAAUGGGCGCAAGCCUGAUCCAGCCAUGCCGCGUGUGUGAAGAAGGCCUUAGGGUUGUAAAGCACUUUCAGUGGGGAGAAAGGUCAUUCACCUAAUACGUGAGUGAAUUGAUGUUACCCACAGAAGAAGCACCGGCUAACUCCGUGCCAGCAGCCGCGGUAAUACGGAGGGUGCAAGCGUUAAUCGGAAUUACUGGGCGUAAAGCGCACGUAGGUGGUUUGUUA
rnacentral:rRNA from 1 species